GGCUGCGUAGCUCAAUUGGAUAGAGCACUGGAUUUCGGCUCCAGCGGUUGAAGGUUCGACCCCUUUCGCAGUCGCCG
rnacentral:tRNA from 1 species